rnacentral:lncRNA from 1 species
CCUUGGCCUCCCAAGUGGUGAAAUAACAGUCUGUCUAUUGGAAUCAGAAUCCUGACAAGGUCCACCCUGCACACCACUUUCUCACAAAGGUCCUCUCAUCCUGAGCAGUCCUCCCUGCCACUGAUUUGUUGUCCUUCAUAAUGUCCCACAAUCUGCACCUGUCUUUGUUCUCCCUCAUGAUACUGCUUCACUUCUAUGCCCUGAAUUUCCUAUAAUGGGGAAGGAGCUCUAAAGCCUGGUUGUAGGAACACUUCAUGAACAGUACUGUGCAUGGCACACAAUCUCUAGCCAUCCCACUUGUCACGCUAAAAUCGAUGACUCGCUUCUGGUAGUGUCAGCCUGACUCUUUGGACAUGCUGAGUAAGCAGAGCGAGAAAGGAAGAGGGCUUCGACCAGAGGAAGAGGAGCAGAGAAAACAGGGAAGGAGAAUUCAGGGAAGUGGGGAAAAUCGAGGGAGCAGCAGCGUGGGGACUGAAGAAAGAAGGGUCAGGUGUCGCUGGGCAGCCAAGAAGAGACAAACAGCUAUUACUGAAUUACAGAAACUGGUUUAUUUCUGUCAGAAAGCUGCAGUGCCACCUGAGUUCCAAAUUUUAACAUUCUUUGUAAACGGAUGGAUUAUGAUAAAGAAGAUGCUACCAAUGAAAUAGAAAACCAACGAGAUGAGAAGACUGUGAUCCUCAUGCACUCAGAGGCACUUCCCUUCUAAGUCAAAGACCAUUCUCACUGACUAUGUGCCAAGGCCUCACUUCAGGCUUGUGACUCAACAAAGGGCUUUUCCAUUGAUAGAAGCAGUUUGGGAUUUGUAGCUACAACUUCUUCGAUAGUUACCUGCAUGUCCAUUGCUGGCAGCUGACUUCAGUCAUUAAAACCUGGC